UGAGCGGCGGACGGGUGAGUAACGCGUGGGUAACCUGCCUCAUACAGGGGGAUAACAGUUAGAAAUGACUGCUAAUACCGCAUAAGACCACAGCACCGCAUGGUGCGGGGGUAAAAACUCCGGUGGUAUGAGAUGGACCCGCGUCUGAUUAGGUAGUUGGUGGGGUAACGGCCUACCAAGCCGACGAUCAGUAGCCGACCUGAGAGGGUGACCGGCCACAUUGGGACUGAGACACGGCCCAA
rnacentral:rRNA from 1 species